rnacentral:rRNA from 1 species
CCUACGGGAGGCAGCAGUGAGGAAUAUUGGUCAAUGGACGAGAGUCUGAACCAGCCAAGUAGCGUGAAGGAUGACUGCCCUAUGGGUUGUAAACUUCUUUUAUAUGGGAAUAAAAUGUUCCACGUGUGGGAUUUUGUAUGUACCAUAUGAAUAAGGAUCGGCUAACUCCGUGCCAGCAGCCGCGGUAAUACGGAGGAUACGAGCGUUAUCCGGAUUUAUUGGGUUUAAAGGGAGCGUAGGUGGUUUGUUAAGUCAGUUGUGAAAGUUUGCGGCUCAACCGUAAAAUUGCAGUUGAAACUGGCAGUCUUGAGGACAGUAGAGGUGGGCGGAAUUCGUGGUGUAGCGGUGAAAUGCUUAGAUAUCACGAAGAACUCCGAUUGCGAAGGCAGUUCACUGGACUGCAACUGACACUGAGGCUCGAAAGUGUGGGUAUCAAACAGGAUUAGAUACCCGAGUAGUC